GCUCUGGUGGCACAGUUGGUCAGCGCGUAGUGCUAAUAUCAAAUACAUCGUGAUAUGGAACGCUAAGGUCCUAGGUUCGAGCCCUAGUCGGAGCA